rnacentral:rRNA from 1 species
GUGGGGAAUAUUGGACAAUGGGCGCAAGCCUGAUCCAGCAAUGCCGCGUGUGUGAAGAAGGUCUUAGGAUUGUAAAGCACUUUCGGCGGGGACGAUGAUGACGGUACCCGCAGAAGAAGCCCCGGCUAACUUCGUGCCAGCAGCCGCGGUAAUACGAAGGGGGCUAGCGUUGCUCGGAAUGACUGGGCGUAAAGGGCGCGUAGGCGGACGGCAUAGUCAGACGUGAAAUUCCUGGGCUCAACCUGGGGACUGCGUUUGAUACGUGUUGUCUAGAGUUUGGAAGAGGGUCGUGGAAUUCCCAGUGUAGAGGUGAAAUUCGUAGAUAUUGGGAAGAACACCGGUGGCGAAGGCGGCGACCUGGUCCUUGACUGACGCUGAGGCGCGAAAGCGUGGGGAGCAAACAGG